rnacentral:tRNA from 1 species
GGUUCCAUGGUGUAAUGGUUAGCACUCAAGACUCUGAAUCUUGCGAUCCGAGUUCAAUUCUCGGUGGGACCU